CCCCCUCCUCUGUCUACCCAGCCCCAGACUUGUUUAUAAACAUCUGAAAAGAAAACAAAGUGGGGAAGGAGGGAAGGAGUAUAGCUUCAUGUAGCUUCUCUCAUGUCACCCAUUCCUCUCAUCUUGGAAUUUCUGUAGGGCAGCAUGUGACUGAUCAUCUUCAUGUAUGAAAAUAAGCAAAUAGAUGCUCCCGCAUGGUUUAGGGCAUAUACAGCCAUCCCAAGCAAACUGCAAAGGCAUAGCAUGUAACUGCUUUGUAUGGGGUAGGGAAGUGCAUAAUGUUGCUGUGCUAAAUGGAACAUUUAAAAAAUAAUAAUAAUCUUGGGUUGUAAUCCCCAAACAGGUUGUGCUGGAAUGAUACUAAGGCUCUUUAAGGAUCUGCCUCCACAUUUCCUUUCUGCACCAAAAACGUGAGGCAUAUAGCUGGCAGUGUCUUAGAGCACGUACAGAAUGUGCCGAUGUGGUGUAGAGCCAGUGUGGUGUAUUGGUUAAGAGCGGUAGAUUCGUAAUCUGGUGAACUGGGUUCGAUUCCCCACUCCUCCACCUGCAGCUGCUGGGUGACCUUGGGCCAGGCACACUUCUCUGAAGUCUCUCAGCCCCACUCACCUCACAGAGUGUUUGUUGUGGGGAAAGAAGGGAAAGGAGAUUGUGAGCCGCUUUGAGACUCCUUAGGGUAGUGAUAAAGCAGGAUAUCAAAUCCAAACUCCUUCUCCUCCGAUACCACAGAGUGACUGUAGAAGAUUCCCACCCACCUGGAAUUGGGGAAUGGGCUUUCAGAGGACAGGAUGAUGUUUCCAGGGAUCUCUCUUCCUAGAAAUUAAAGAUUGCUAGUGAACACAUUCCAGCCAGGCAAAAGCAGUUGAGAAGGGCUUGGAACAAGACUGGUGAUGGAUGUGGCCUGGGGAAAGUAUUGAGGGCUGAAUAGAGAGGCUUGGAGACCUAAAGUUCCCCACUGUAUAAUUCCAGAGCAAACUAUUUGUUCGUCUUUCCUAGUCUUGCCUACUCUGAGCAGCAGUGGUUUCCCAGGAUAUCAGGUGGAAGUGUUUCCCAUCAGCUACGUACUUCCUGAGCCUUGUAACUGGAGAUACCAGAAAUUGAAGAUGGGAUCUUCUGUGUACCAAACCACUAUAAAAUGGCUCUUCUUUUCAUAGGUCCUUCAUAAUAUUCAAUGUGUUGGGGAGGUUUGUAAACUUGUGUCACUGUGUGCACUUGCAUAGAUUUCUAGUCACAUUUGUUCCACAAAUCCUGUGUUUGUAUGCACAACUAUAGUUUAGUUGAGUGCUAUAAAGCCAGUUUUAUGACACUGGGGUUUUGGCUCAAGAAUGUGUCAUUUUUAACAGACAGCACAAUGAUGAUUCAGUUGUAGUUUAACAGGCAUGCUUUGCACUCUGGGAUCUGUUUGCUAUUAAAUCUGGAAGUUUGGGGAUGUUUAUCUGGUUUACUAUAUAUCUAAGGUUACAGUUGUUAUCUAGGUUUCUUAUUGUUGCAGAACAUCUUGAGGGAAAGAGCGAAGAGAUGGGAUCUUUAAACCUGUUGAUCUUUAGCAGAAAUACUUGCUGUUCUGGAAUUCAGUUUUAACACAGCCUGAACUGUAGCCAAACAGGAAUAAAAUUUACUACUUUAUCACCCUUUAAUAUCAGAAUGGGAUUCAGAUGGGCCAAGAAUGUUUCUUUAUUGUAUAUGGGCAAUUUCUGGAAAACAAAAAGGAUGACAUUUACUGUCCUUUCCCUGCUGAUUCCCAAAGACAAGCCAAGUAAACUAGUAUCAUUCAGGGGAAAAAUGAUCACAGUGAUCCUAUGAACAUUCCCAUUGUGUUCAAUACAAAAGGUACCUUUUGGGAUUGUAAAUGGAAUAAAUAAGGGAGAGUAGGCUGAGGAGCAAUGUGAAUACAUGUAGGAAAAUCAUGAUCAGCUUUAGACCUUCAUGCAUUUCUCUGCAUAUCUAAACAGCAAUAGGGCAGAGGAAAGGUGUGCACUGGCCACAAGCUUUGGUUUGGACUAGGGAACAUGGACAGAUUCAAUUUUGUUUGCAUUUAAAUGAGAAACUACCUAAUUCUCACUUCUCAAACCAAUAGGAGAACUGAAACACAGCUAGCCUUCAAAAUUCACACUUCUCUGAAUUUUGUGUUGCAGUCCUCUAACUCAACAGAUGUAUAAAUUCGGGGAAAGUUUGCCAUAUAUUGAAUGUAUAACAUAAAAAAAAAAUUUUAUUAGUGAAAAAUGCAUGCAAAAAUAUGUUUAGAGGAACUGAAUUAAAGACUGGAAGAAAGAGAAACAAAACAAAAUUGAUAGAUUUCAGAUCACAAUUAGGCACUCAGCCUUCAGUGGCUGUCCAAUUUGGUUCAGGUGGAAAACUGAAUUGCUAAAACAUAUCUAUCUCUCCCUGAAGCUUCUUUUAGACAAUAAAUGCAUCUGUUCAAAACAUUUCACUUGCCCCUCUACAAAGGUCUUUUUGCCUCUGGCCUCACCUACUGCAGGCAUGUUGUUCUCAGUGCAUUGCAGUGAAAUAAAUGUGGGACUUGGACUGAAGAAGGUUCCCUAUUUCCUAUGCUUAGUGGUUCAGCUUUAGGCUCAGUUGGCAUGUGAGCAAAUGGAGACCAGAUAGUGGAUGAAUGGAGAAUGAUUGUGGCAGAUCAUUUUGAUAGAUUUCUUUCGUGAGCUGUUAAUCAGGAUAUCUCAACACUAGAAGUGGGGCAGGAAGUUCCAUGGAGGGGGAGAAGAUCUCACAGGAACCGGUGGUACAUUCAUUUUAGCAGCAGAGAUUAAGUGCUAGCCAUGGGAUAUGUGGCGAGGCAAGAACAUCAUGAGAACAUCUGGCUAGCACUAUUUUAAUGUUCAGUGUCUUUUUGUGUUUUAAUUUGUACAUAUUUGUGAAAGCAUACAAAAUGAAUUAUAUUCCAAUAAAUCACUUUGCAAAAAUGUGUAUAUAAGGCAAAAUUGCAUACAAAAACGUUUAUAUUAAGAGAAAUUCACACUAAAUUGUUGAUGAAUUUUAAUGAGGACUUUUU